GCCAGGUGUAGUGGUGCACACCUGUAAUCCCAGGGACUCAGGAGGCUGAGGCAGGAGGAUCUCAAGUUGGAGGCCAAUCUGAGCAAUUUAGCAAAACUGUCUCAA
rnacentral:sRNA from 1 species